rnacentral:rRNA from 1 species
UACGAAGGGGGCUAGCGUUGCUCGGAAUCACUGGGCGUAAAGGGUGCGUAGGCGGGUCUUUAAGUCAGGGGUGAAAUCCUGGAGCUCAACUCCAGAACUGCCUUUGAUACUGAAGAUCUUGAGUUCGGGAGAGGCGAGUGGAACUGCGAGUGUAGAGGUGAAAUUCGUAGAUAUUCGCAAGAACACCAGUGGCGAAGGCGGCUCACUGGCCCGAUACUGACGCUGAGGAGCGAAAGCAUGGGGAGCGAACAGG